GGGGAUAUAGCUCAAGUGGUAAAGCAACCAGUCUGGCAACCCUGAGUUCAAAUCCCAGUACUUCCA
rnacentral:tRNA from 1 species